GACGAACGCUGGCGGCGUGCUUAAUACAUGCAAGUGGAGCGACGAACCAGGGCCUGCCCUGGGGCAGAGCCGCGAACGGGUGAGUAACACGUGGGUAACCUGCCUCGAUGACCGGGACAACCCGAGGAAACUCGGGCUAAUACCGGAUGUGCUCUCCUCACAUCAGUGGGAAGAGGAAAGGAAGCUUCGGCCUCCGCAUCGGGAUGGGCCCGCGGCCCAUUAGCUAGUUGGUGGGGCAAUGGCCUACCAAGGCUUCGAUGGGUAGCUGUUCUGAGAGGAAGAUCAGCCACACUGGGACUGAGACACGGCCCAGACUCCUACGGGAGGCAGCAGUAGGGAAUCUUGCGCAAUGCGCGAAAGCGUGACGCAGCAACGCCGCGUGCGGGAAGACGGCCU
rnacentral:rRNA from 1 species